UCCCCAAUGGCUCAGUAGUAGAGAAUCUGCCUGCAAUACAGGAGACCCGGGUUCCAUCCCUGGUUAGGGAA
rnacentral:tRNA from 1 species